GUCUGAGUACGGAUAAUUUAUAGUUCUUUUAAAUUUAUAUUUAAUGAUUAGAAAAAUAGUUAAUUGGAUUUAAGAAAUGGAAUGCACCGGUUAAGUCCACGUGAACUGAAGAACAGGAAUCCUGAACGAAAUUGCUCAUGAUUUAUUCAAAACAUUAAAAUACAUACAGUGGUAAAAAGAAGUACAAAAAGAAAAACAAGAAGAAAAGGUAAUUGGAUAUACGCAAUACAUACAAACAUAUAUUACAGAAGGUGUUGCAGGACCGAUGGCCGUUGGAGCAGGCGUGUCCUGGAGUGGAGACCGCAUCUUGGCAAACGCAGUGUGGGACGUCCUCCGGUCCGCUGGACCGACGAUCUACGUAAGAUUGCCGGUGUAGGCUG
rnacentral:misc_RNA from 1 species